GAUGAACGCUGGCGGCGUGCCUAAUACAUGCAAGUCGAGCGAACAGAUGAGGAGCUUGCUCCUCUGACGUUAGCGGCGGACGGGUGAGUAACACGUGGAUAACCUACCUAUAAGACUGGGAUAACUUCGGGAAACCGGAGCUAAUACCGGAUAAUAUAUUGAACCGCAUGGUUCAAUAGUGAAAGACGGUUUUGCUGUCACUUAUAGAUGGAUCCGCGCCGCAUUAGCUAGUUGGUAAGGUAACGGCUUACCAAGGCAACGAUGCGUAGCCGACCUGAGAGGGUGAUCGGCCACACUGGAACUGAGACACGGUCCAGACUCCUACGGGAGGCAGCAGUAGGGAAUCUUCCGCAAUGGGCGAAGGCCUGACGGGGCAACGCCGCGUGAGUGAUGAAGGUCUUCGGAUCGUAAAACUCUGUUAUUAGGGAAGAACAAAUGUGUAAGUAACUAUGCACGUCUUGACGGUACCUAAUCAGAAAGCCACGGCUAACUACGUG
rnacentral:rRNA from 1 species